AGUGCACUUUCGGAGUGCGGUCCGGUAAGUUGCCGAGGCUUAUUGUGAGCGAAAGAGGAAUCGAGGUUGAUCCUGCUAGAAAAAAAAAAGAUAUAAAAAAAGGAAAAAGUAAUGCAAGAAAUGCCUGAACCGAAAACAAAAAGAGAGAUCAAACGGUCAGGUGGAUAAUGGUUGCCCAGGGGCAUUGGGAAAUAAAUGAAUAAGUUGCAGGAGCCUCCGAUUCUG
rnacentral:lncRNA from 1 species